GCAGAGUUACUGCCUAGCACUACUGAAUCACUGCAGUCAGCAGGACUGUGAGUAUAAUUUAUUCUUUUAUUGGUCACCACUGGUCAACGCUCGAGUUGAAGUGAACCACAAAUUCUACGUUCUGGCAGCAGUACAAUUCCCAGGUGCUCAUAAUGCUAUUUCCCACUUUGUGAGUUCUUGACUGGAGUCUUAACUGCAUCUCUUUGUUACUGUCUCCCCCUAUGAAAUAAAAGGCCUGUGAAAAACA